AGUGAACGCUGGCGGUAGGCCUAACACAUGCAAGUCGAACGGCAGCACAGUAAGAGCUUGCUCUUACGGGUGGCGAGUGGCGGACGGGUGAGGAAUACAUCGGAAUCUACUUUUUCGUGGGGAUAACGUAGGGAAACUUACGCUCAUACCGCAUACGACCUACGGGUGAAAGCAGUGGAUCUUCGCACCUUGCGCGAUUGCAUGAGCCGAUGUCGGAUUAGCUAGUUGGCGGGGUAAAGGCCCACCAAGGCGACGAUCCGUAGCUGGUCUGAGAGGAUGAUCAGCCACACUGGAACUGAGACACGGUCCAGACUCCUACGGGAGGCAGCAGUGGGGAAUAUUGGACAAUGGGCGCAAGCCUGAUCCAGCCAUACCGCGUGGGUGAAGAAGGCCUUCGGGUUGUAAAGCCCUUUUGUUGGGAAAGAAAAGCAGCAGGUUAAUACCCCGCUGUUCUGACGGUACCCAAAGAAUAAGCACCGGCUAACUUCGUG
rnacentral:rRNA from 1 species